rnacentral:lncRNA from 1 species
CAGUAUUAUCUCAGCUGAUAACACUACACCAUUCAUAUGGCAGAGAAAUAGGGAAACAAAACUCAUUCCAGCCCUUUCGUUCUGGCAUUCUCUCUGCAAAAGGCAAAGGGCCCCCCUCGCGAUGAAUAGAGCUGGGGUAGAAAUACAAUCCUGUACUAUUGCUAAAAGCCAGAAGAGCUGACUCUUUUAUUCCAAGGGGAAGUUUGGGGGUGUUCUUACCCUUGGUCCUAUGUAUACUCUCAUGAGUGAUAGAUCAGGAUGAAGACUUUCAGAUAUGGAGUCUUGCUCUGUUGUCAGGCUGGAGUACAGUGGCAUGAUCUUGGCUCGCGGCAACCUCCACCUCUCAGUUCAAGCAAUUCUCCUGUCUCAGCCUCCGGAGUAGCCAGGAUUACAGGUCCUAAGAAUGGAAUUCAGGAGUGGACAAGACAUAACUUUUGCCAUGAAGCAUCUCAUCACACAAUGGAGUCUUGCUCUGCCACCCAGGCUAGAAUGCAGUGUCACAAUCUUGUCUCUGUGCAAACUCCGCCUCCUGUGUUCAAGGGAGUCUCCUGCCUCAGCCUCUGGAGUAGCUGGGAUUACAGGGCUUGUCAAAAUCCUACUCUUUUACUCACCUUACCAACACUCGGAGGCAUGACUUAUGUCUGAAACAAAACUACAAGAGCCAGUGUUUAUACACAAAAAUCUUGGAAUACUCUUGUUUUCAUUUCUUCUGUUGCAGCUUUUCUGGGAGCACCACUGUCUUCCAAAAACAAAUAAAAUGACUAAGAUUACAUUAAUUUGCAUUUCAUUACAUAAUCUGUUGAGAAAAUGGAAC